rnacentral:lncRNA from 1 species
UUUUUAUACAGUUAAUACAUAGCACUGCAGAAAAUGUGCAUCGAUGAAAAAAAAAUAAAACCACUGGCCUUCCUACCACCCAGAAUUAUACUGCUAAUAACUUGAGUGUACAGAACCACUUCCUGCCAAGACAAACUUCCUGUCUGUUUUUAGGACAAGCUGGUGGCACACCAUUUUGUCAUCUUCCCAUCUGUGGCCUCACUGAGUGAGGCACCAGCCAGGCACCUUGUUCCUUCAGUAGGGUGAGAGUUACCAGAGCUUGAGGCCUAGGGCCUCCCUCCAACGAGCUGAACUAGGGUCUGCAGGCCUGAGCAGUGGCUGCAUUUGGUUUGUAGAAGCUGUGCCACUAGUUGCCACAACUACUGUCGCAUAAGCAGCACCACAACCACCAACUCACAGUCACAGUGUCCAACUUGGGAGUGACUUCAGAGAGCACCUGGUGGUUUUUUUGUUUUUGUUUUUUGUUUUUCUUUUUGAGAUGGAGUCUUGCUCUGUCGCCAGGCUGGAGUGCAAUGGCAUGAUCUCGGCUCACUGCAACCUCCGCCUCCUGGGUUCAAGCGACUCUCCUGCCUCAGCCUCCCGAGUAGCUGGGACUACAGGCCUGCGCCACCAGGCCCAGCUAAUUUUUGUCUUUUUAGUGGAGAUGGGGUUUCACCAUGUUGGCCAGGAUGGUCUCAAUCUCUUGACCUCGUGAUCUACCCACCUCAGCCUCCCAAAGUGCUGGGAUUACAGGCGUGAGCCACCACGCCCAUCCCUGGUGGUCGCUUUAUAAAGACACUGACACUUUGAAAGAUGAAUGUCAAGCCCAGAGCGUCUGUCUGCCUGGCUGUGAGUUCUAAUAUUCUUGAAACAUAACUGUGGUUCUGGCAAAGGAAUCGGGUGACUCAUAAGGAAUAUGAUUAAUGAAUGGGCUACAGAAAAACAGAUGGGCAAAGCUCAGUAGAGCUUGACUUUGUUGUAAAUGCUUUAUGACUACUGGCUCACCUGUUUGUAUAACCUAACUGUGGCUUGAGAGAAGUCCAUCUAAUAGGGCCAAUAAUGGUUGUAUUCCUGCAAUUUUUGUGACAACACCCCCCACAUGCCCCUUCCUCCCUUUCUGUACUAUCUCUCCUUGCAAUGUGAUUGGUUAGGUUUUGUGAGAUACAAUGUCUCUGUUGCAAUUUCUCAACUCUGCUGUCUUCACACAAAAGCAGCCAUAGACAAUAUGUAAAUGAACGAGCAUGACUGUGUUCCAAUAAAACUUUAUUUACAAAAAUAGGUGGCCGGGCUGCCAAACCCCUACUUUAUUAGUAAUCACAGCCUAUCUGAAAAGUUUUGAUUAUUUGGUGAGAUGCUGGAAGAGAAAUCACUGAAUCUUUAGAGUGAGUGUCUAGUCAAAUCUGUUCAUCAAAAAGCUCACUUUGUUCUGAAAACUUUAUUUUUUCUGCAUUUUAAUGACUGCCAGAACAAUGUUCUUGCCAAACAUAUGUCAGUGACUCCAUGUGAAUAUAUCCAUACUGCAGAAUUAUUUAUGCUCAGACUACACAGUUUAUAGGUCUCUAAGACAUUCAGACAGAUGAAGGAUGGAAUAUCAACCACCAAUGCUAAAAGUUCAGUCCA